UACGUAGGAUGCUAGCGUUGUCCGGAUUUACUGGGCGUAAAGCGCGCGCAGGCGGCACUGUAAGUAAGGUGUGAAAUCUCCCUGCUCAACGGGGAGGGUGCACUUUAGACUGCAGAGCUAGAGGACGGUAGAGGAGACUGGAAUUCACGGUGUAGCAGUGAAAUGCGUAGAUAUCGUGAGGAAGACCAGUGGCGAAGGCGGGUCUCUGGACAGUUCCUGACGCUGAGGCGCGAAGGCCAGGGGAGCAAACGGG
rnacentral:rRNA from 1 species